UAACUAUAAAAUUAAAAAAAAUAGUUAUAAAAAUAUUAUUCAAAUGUUAUAAGUUCUUAUUGAGUGAUUAGAAAAGUUUGAUUCUUGCUUUAUAAUUUACAGUACAAAAUUUAUACAUGUAUAUUAAAUUUUUGAGGCAGUAUUUAAUAUUAUAUAAAAUUUAUUUUGGUAUAAUUUUUUGGUUUGUUUUGGGUAAAUGCGUGCCAGCAUUCGCGGUUAGACGUAAAAKACRAGUAAAUUUUUUUGGURAAAUAAAGUUUUUAUKYUUUAAAUCGGAUAAAUUUAAAUUUGAGUGAAAUUAGUUUAAAUUAUUAUUUUGUUUUUUAUUCUUUAAAGUUUUGGUUUAAACCAGGAUUAGAUACCCUGUUAUUCAUAGAUUAGYUUAAACCUAAGUAGUAGUAUUUAUAAAACUUAAAGAAUUUGGCGGUAUUUUAUUCUUUCUAGAGGAACCUGCUCUAUAAUCGAUUUUACACGUUUACUUUUCUUUUAAUAAAGCUUAUAUAUCGUUGUCUUAAGAAUUAAUCAGGGGGAGAUUUUUUCUAGGYUCUUUAUGAGAAAUAUGUCAAAUCAAGGUGUAGUGUUUAAAAGAAGAGGUGGGUUACAAUURUUUAUUUAAUGGAAAUARGUUGAAAAAUAAGUUGAAAUUGGAUUUAGAAGUAAUUUUUUGARCYUUAAAAUUUAAAUUAAGCYCUAAAAUAUGUACAUAUCGCCCGUCGCUUUAAUUAUUUUGAAAUUAGAUAAGUCGUAACAAAGUAGUUUUUCCGGAAGGAAAUGCUUGAAAUUA
rnacentral:ncRNA from 1 species